rnacentral:rRNA from 1 species
UACGAGUGGGCAAGCGUUGUUCGGAUUUACUGGGCGUAAAGAGCGUGUAGGCGGCCAAACAGGUCCGUUGUGAAAACUGGAGGCUCAACCUCCAGACGUCGACGGAAACCGUGUGGCUAGAGUCCGGAAGAGGAGAGUGGAAUUCCUGGUGUAGCGGUGAAAUGCGUAGAGAUCGGGAGGAAGGCCGGUGGCGAAGGCGGCGCUCUGGAACGUACCUGACGCUGAGACACGAAAGCGUGGGGAGCAAACAGGG